rnacentral:rRNA from 1 species
CCUACGGGUGGCAGCAGUGAGGAAUAUUGGUCAAUGGCCGGAAGGCUGAACCAGCCAAGCCGCGUGAAGGACGAAGGUGCCAAGCAUUGUAAACUUCUUUUGUCAAGGGACAAAAUCAGGCUCGAGAGCCAGAACGAGGGUACUUGAAGAAAAAGCAUCGGCUAACUACGUGCCAGCAGCCGCGGUAAUACGGAGGAUGCGGGCGUUAUCCGGUUUUAUUGGGUUAAAGGGGUGCGUAGGCGGACUGUUAAGUCAGCGGUAAAAGCCCGGUGCUCAACCCCGGCGAGCCGUUGAAACUGGGUGUCUUGAGAUGUCGAGAGGUAUGCGGAAUGCGCAGUGUAGCGGUGAAAUGCGUAGAUAUUGCGCAGAACACCGAUUGCGAAGGCAGCAUACCGGCGGCGAUCUGACGCUGAGGCACGAAAGCGUGGGUAUCGAACAGGAUUAGAUACCCUUGUAGUC